rnacentral:rRNA from 1 species
CUGGUUGAUCCUGCCAGUAGUCAUAUGCUUGUCUCAAAGAUUAAGCCAUGCAUGUCUAAGUGUAAAUACGUCUACACUGUGAAACUGCGAAUGGCUCAUUAAAUCAGUUAUCGUUUAUUUGAUGAUCUCUUGUUACAUGGAUAACCGUAGUAAUUCUUGAGCUAAUACAUGCGAAAAAUCUCGACUCACGGAGAGAUGCUUUUAUUAGAUCAAAACCAAACGGCUUCGGCCGUAACAUUGGUGACUCUGAAUAACUUUGGGCUGAUCGUAUGGCCUUGUGCCGACGACGUUUCCUUCGAAG